AAGAACCCACCUUUGAGGAUGC
rnacentral:piRNA from 1 species